rnacentral:rRNA from 1 species
UCUGGUGCCAGCAGCCGCGGUAAUUCCAGCUCCAAUAGCGUAUAUUAAAGUUGUUGCAGUUAAAAAGCUCGUAGUUGGAUUUGUGGCGUGUCCUGUCGGAGCAUGAGCUCUGCUUGUGUGUCUGUACGGGUGUGCCUUUAAUGGGAUUGUUGGCUUUGUGGCAUUAGGUUGUCGCAUUGUUGAUGCCCAUCUUUUACUGUGAAAAAAUUAGAGUGUUCAAAGCAGGCUUAUGCCGUUGAAUAUGUUAGCAUGGAAUAAUGAUAUAGGACCUUGGUACUAUUUUGUUGGUUUGCGCACUAAGGUAAUGAUUAAUAGGGACAGUUGGGGGUAUUCGUAUUCCAUUGUCAGAGGUGAAAUUCUUGGAUUUUUGGAAGACGAACUACUGCGAAAGCAUUUACCAAGGAUGUUUUCAUUAAUCAAGAACGAAAGUUAGGGGA